UACGUAGGGUGCAAGCGUUAAUCGGAAUUACUGGGCGUAAGGCGUGCGCAGGCGGUUGUGUAAGACAGAUGUGAAAUCCCCGGGCUCAACCUGGGAACUGCAUUUGUGACUGCACAGCUGGAGUGCGGCAGAGGGGGAUGGAAUUCCGCGUGUAGCAGUGAAAUGCGUAGAUAUCUGGAGGAACACCGGUGGCGAAGGCGGCAUCCUGGACCGGUAUUGACGCUGAGGAGCGAAAGCCAGGGGAGCAAACGGG
rnacentral:rRNA from 1 species